UGAGCAUGAAAAAUCAGCUGAAGGUCACUUUACAAUUUCAGAAUGCUUAGGCUACUAAUUCAAGCUGUCUAUUGCUUUUAUUUCUAGAAAAUCAGUACAUAGAAUACAAUAUUCUGCUAGAUUGGCAAUUGUGAUUCCUUUUCUAGUCCUAGAAACUUAGGAAGAAGAUUAUGUAACUUCUUAUUAUUCUUUUUCCAUUUUCAUUUUGGUUAUAGAACUCUUCACCAGAAUAGUUUCAAGGGCAGUUCUGGGGGGCUAUUGAGUGUUUUUUACCUAGCUAGUUGCUAAAAUGGUGCAUUAAUCAUUUAUAUCAUUCGUUUGCUCAUAAAACUCCACCAGAUUGUUGUUUGUAGGCAUGCAAAGAUUCAUUUGGGGAUCUAGUAAUAGCAGGGAAAUUUUCAUUUAGGGUGUGCUUGGGAUUUGGAUGACUAUUCUGGCAUUGUCUAUUGUGGGGUGAUGUCUCAAAAGAUGCUCUUUUCUCAACUACAGGGCACAUUGGUGGAGCUACAUUGCCAUAUUAAUUUCGUGAAGGAUCAAGAAUAUGAACAUUUGGAAAUCAGGUAAAAUGUUAAAAUUUCGAAGCAACAGUGUUGUAUAGAUGAGGAUAACAUGGACUUAAGGCUUUAUAAUGGCCAAUAAUUCAUGGUAAACACUACCAUAGACAUCAGAAGGGGACUCAAGUUUGUUGUUUCUUUAGAAGAAACUGAUGUGAAGAUCGUAAUUUCUAUGCGGUUUAGCUGCUAUUCUGUUAUAUUUGCUGUUUAGAGAUAAUUUAUCUAACCUUUGAGGGUUUCAAACCAUUGUGAAUAGCUUUAGAACCCUCUUGUUAUGGACUUGCAGCUAAACGUGCAAGCAGGGAAAACAGAAUUCAGAUAAGGGGUUCCAUUUGGGCAGGUUUACUUAUGUUUUUAUCACAGACGCAAGAAGGGUAUAGUGAAUUAAGGGACAACAGUUGUCAUUAGUUUUCUUUACAGUUUUCCUUUUCUCUUUUAUAUUUGUCAUAUGUAGCUUAAAGGCGGAGUCAAUUACUCUUUUGAGUUUUUAUGCAUUGGGUAAUUACUUUGUUGGUUUUGCUUGUUCUCAGAUUUGUAAAAGUAUGAUUAGGAAAGAGAAAAGCAUGCAUUAGUUUCUUUAAAUUGGGUUCUUAUACUCAGUAGAUUGAAUAGUUCUCUCUUAAAAGCUCCUAUUCCAAUUAAUCAAAAUAGGUCACAAAAGUAGGAAAUCUAAAAAACACAACCUGCGAACUAUUUUAAAUCUGAUUUCCAGGUUAAUUGUCCUUUAACUAGAUCCCAAACACAGGGUUGUAAAACCUUUUGUUAUGCCAUGUUGGUUAUGCUAGUUUCCUUCCGUAAAUUAUAAUGUGUUGGAUGAUUUUUUUUUUUUUUCUAGUUUCUCUACUUUCUCCUUUUGUCUUUUUGUUUUAUGUUGAAUGCAUUACUUGUGAUUGAGUUAUCUCUAUGUGCUUUUAUGAAUGAAAUGAAAAUAAGGUUUCACAAUCACUCUUUUGCUAAAGCAUAAAUAACAGCGAUGACUUUGGUAGAACUUGUUAUUUGUCAAAAUAAGAUGACUCUUGCAUUUUACUUUUUUGCUUUGUAAACUUUCAUUCUCGAAUUAUAUUGAAGGAGGCUGAUUACUCUCUCUCUUCAUAACAAUAUUUGGUGUGUGAAAAUAAUAUCAACAAGCAUGAACGUUGUUCCGCUUCUAUUAAGUAGCACCCAGUUGGAAUUGCUUGCUAUCAUAAUGAUUAUUAGUAUAAUUAAUAAUCUUAACGUUGGCCUUUGUUUCUGAAAUUGGAAAUUGUGCAGGGAAAUGUAUACCUAUUAUUAGGGGUGCUGGAAUUUAUCAAGAACACAUGAAUGAAGCUCUUGAACACUUGAGCAAUGGAGCAUGGGUAUUUUUUCUAAAAUAUUAUGAACUCCUUGGGCCAAAUGUUAGUGAUAACUGAUCAGUAAUGCGUGGGAAGCAUCCAAGUCUGUUAACAAAUCUGGUCUGGGGGCUGGUUAUUGAAGGAAGAGGCAGCUAAAUUUGUUUAAUCUGCUCGUUUGACUCUGCUCGACUUGUAAUGUUCUCAUUUUCGGAUUAUUGACUUACAUUCUGGUAUCUUUGGUCAUAUUAGGAAUAUAUUUCUUACCUUCCCUCCCACUUCUCAUGUUGAUGUUCCACUUUAAAUUAUUUGCUCAACAUUUCCACUCUUACCAUCUCUCCAACUAUUUUCUUGAACUCUAUGGGCGCAAAAGAAUAACUGAAGUUAUCUGCUGAAUAGUUACUUAGGAAAAGGUAAAACAUUAAAAAGGUUCCAAAUUUAGGGAGUAGGACGUAGGUUGAUCUGAUUAGGCAAAUACAUACAAGUUGCAUUCAUCUGAUUGGGAAUAGAGUCUGUCAGUUCACUUGAUUCCAUACCCUUGUUUUUUAUUGCCUUUUCCUGAAUUAAUUUCAUGUUGGUCUAUGGCUAUGGGUUAUGUCCUACUUUUCUUUGUUUUUAAUACAAGUUAUGGGCUUAUGGCUCAAAGGAAUUUUGUUAUAAAAGAGUGUUUAGUUCGAUAAAUGAACUUUUAUUAAAUGUUGAUAGGGAAUUGAUUGGACUCUUCCUAUCCACCUCCCUCUUUCUCUUGUUGAUACCAGUAAUUAAUGGCCACAUUUGUGAAAGCUGUAUGAGCAUUCUAGUACCAAGUUGUUUGACCACCUGCUGCAUUUUUUGGAUGAAUAGAACCAGAAAGAUUCUGGACUUUGUAUCAAUGACCCAGAGAUAAUGCUGACAUAUGUAGGGGGAUUAUAGACCAUAUAGUACUCUUACUACUGUUAUGCAAGAGAUAUGAGGAACAAUAAAUUUUUGCUUAGUUGGCUUCCUUGUUUUGUAGAAGGACCUCUUAAGAAUUUGUAUCACGAUAUGAUUGCCUUCUUUUUUGAGAUCACGAUCUCUUUUAGCAAUUGUCAAAACAAUUUCAAUGAUUGUUUAUUGCUUAAGCCAGAGUAUUAAAUUAAUUAGUGGCCAUUUCAUUAAUUGGAAAAUGUUUGAGGUUCACAAGUUCUCAUAGACGCAUACGUACUUUCUCACAAAUUGUUGUCAAUACAUGCAUAGUGUAGUUAAUUAUGUGAGUGGUUUAAAAAUUAUUAUUUUUAGAUUUUUUUCCAUCAAUGAAUUCUAUAUUUAUCUGGUUCUUCCUUUAGUUCUUCCUCUUCAACAGAUAAUCACAUUUUACUUGCUGUUCUGAUGGUUUCUUUUUAUGUCCCUAAUGGACAGCUGCAUGCAUUUCCCCAAGGAAAAGUUUUGCAAGAGGAUGCACCAAUAAGACGAUUAAAAUGGGGAACUGUGAGUCUUAUUGUCCGUUCCCCUAUAACCCCAAUAGUCUUGCCCAUUGUUCAUCAAGGUUUUGAGGUGGUAACUUCUUUAAAAUUUAUUGAAUCCGCUAAAAGAUUUCCUCUCCUUUUUUCCUUUUUUGCAACUAAUAUACUUUUGUUUGCCAGAAAAUCAUGAAUGCACCAAUGUCACUGUAAAAACUUGUUUACCACCUAGGUUGGGCCUAUAUUUGUACUUAAUUAGCCAUUAACAUUUUUUUCCAUGCAUAGGUUAUGCAGGCAUUGCUCCUAAGUGCUCGCCUGAAGGUUUACCCUAUUGUUUGACUGGAGGUUGAACAAUGAUGUGGUGAUGCCUGAGAAUUAUUGGUUUGGGAGAAGGCCUCCUUUUCCAUUAUGUAACAAAAUAAUUAACAUAGUUUUUGAUGAGCCAAUGGAAUUUGACCUUCCUAAAAUGAGGCAAAUGGCAAUCUCCAUGUCUCGUAAUCUGCAUUUUCGUACCAGAGGAUGGCCCAGCAUUUCCCAUUAUGGACUGGAUGAAGCAGCACAGAGGUAUCUCUACAUGGCUAUUUCAGAGCAAAUUCAAACUGUCAUGGAAAACUUAAGAUGUUUGGGUAAAAGUUCUGUGAAGUAAAGGGUCUAACUUCUUUGCAUCUUGAAAAAUUAGAGAAUUUGGCAUGUCCAUUCCAAUCAAGCAUGUGAAGAAGUGGAGAAAAUACAUUGAGCUAUUAAAAUGACUUCCAGUACUGAUCAAGACAUUUUCCUGAUGUUCUGGAGAGGUUUGGUUGGUUAUGAGAUUUUAAUCUCUUAUUGAUAUUUGAUUUAUUGAGUCAGACUUCCUUUAAUUGAACUCUUGACUGAAUUGUUAAACGUGCACCAAAAUCUAUAAUAACCAUGAGCAUAGAUUUGGUAAUGUCAGUGAUAAUUACCAAAAGUCACUUUAGGUCUUUAAUUCCUAUUGGGAAUUUGAAAUUUACACUUUUAUUGCAUGAUGGCUCAUGUAAGGUCUGCUAUAUGUUCAAGCUACACUAAUAAAUCAAAUUCCAAGAUUGUGUGAAUCCUCUUGGGAUUUCAGGUCGACAAGUAAAUAAGACACCUUGGUGUGGCACAUUAAAGGGACUUCUCUGCUUGUGGCAAUGGUCAGAAGGUCUUCAUGGUUGGAAGCUACAUUCAGGUAUGUCUGCAUUUUAUUUGUUCUUGGCCAGAUCCUCCUUGUUGUAGGUGACCUUUUUAAAAAAAUGUGCAGUUCCAGGAACAAAGCCUACCCAUUAAUUAGUUUGAUUAAUUUGUUUGAUGCCAGUCAUUUGGCAAGUUAUGAGUCGCCGGUGAAGAAGUAAUUUUCUUGGUUUUCUCACAGCACUUCCAUAAGUUCUGAUCAUGGUUAUCCCUAUUGUCGUGGGACAAUAAGAGGAUUGUGUUCAUGUUGUUAGCUCCAUUAAAUGAUUGUCCUACUCUUACAUCUGCACAUUCUUAAUGGUUUCUUCAUGUAUGUGUUGUAUCUCAGGCCGACUUGUGUCUUAUGAAAUGGCCUGAUAACUUCUCUUGAAGUUUGCUUGGCAUCUGCAGUGCAAUUUAAGUAUCAUGCUAGAAACUGUAUGCCAUUUUAGCAAGAAAAAGAACUGAGUGAAGUCCUUAAUUGUGUAGGCAAAGUUUGCAGAAUAUGGUCGCGGUAGCCUCUUCUUCCUAGUUUGGUCUUCCAAUGUUUUGACACCCAUUUGAUUUGGAUGACAGAGUGAUGUAUUUGUAUCUUACCAUCACUUGAUGAGGAAUAAAAGCUUUGAAUCGUCUCUGAGAA